GGUCGCACGAUGGCUCCUCGCGCGGCAGUAGAGCCCGGGACAGAUAGCCGAUCGUGCGCAACCCUUGCUGAGGCUCCUCUCCUUUCUCUUUCUCUCUCUUUCUCUUCGUAUAAUCGGGCUUCUUGUUGUUUUCCAUUUGAAACCCCAAAAUUCCGCGAAAGUGAGAUGAUAUAUGCCGGGAUAUGAUCUAUGAGAAUUGUUUCUCACUAGAAUGAUUUUAAUGAUAAUAAUAAUAAAUAAUAAAAGUGCCGGUUGUGUUACUGGCAAGUGUUUUCGUUGUUGUUCUAAAUGGUGAUGUGUUCGUUAAGAUUACUGUCAAUGAGUAAAUAUUAUGCACGAGUAUGAACAUGUGAAACUGGAAUAAUAAAACGGAAUGAAAUUUUGAUCGAUGAUCAACAUUGUUUGUAAAAGUGUUGGGCCAUGGUGGUAGUGAUGGUUCUCAAAAGUAAAGAGAAGAAAAAAUUGCAAGAAAACUUAAUAUAAUAAAAAGAAGGAGGAAGAGGAGGAGAAGGAAGAGGAGGAGGAGGAGGUGAGGUGGAGGAGAGGGGCGACUUCCGAGCACAAAAAAAGGGUAGCUCGGGGGUUCGUCGUAGUAAUUUUUUUAGCAGGGUUUGUCCUUGAGAAUGGAAGUUAGGGUUAACGUGGAGAAGACGAUCAGCGUGCAGGUAGCAGAGUUGUUGUUGUUGAGGGGAGGAUUUAAAGAACGCGAAGAGGAAGAAGAAGAAGAAGAGGAAGAAGAAGAAGAAGAAGAAGAAGAGGGGGAAAGUGGUGGUCGAGUCAGGGAGGAAAAAGAAAAGCUGGAGGAGGAGGAGGAGGAGGAGGGAAAAGAAACGAAGAAGAAGAAGAAGGUGGUGUUGAAGGUGAAGGUGGUGUUCGGUGAGGUGCUAAGAGAAAGAAGAAUAGGAAGAAGAGGAGGAGGAGGGUGGGAAGGAGGGCCCCACAGAUGCGGGGCCCGGUGUGCCGGCGAGUCCGCGGCGGCGUGACGCGAUGCGGACGACCUUUUCCUCGUUUCUUUCGAGGAAGAGGAAGACGAAAGUUGAAUACGAAUUGUUGGCGAAUAAUAAUAGUUCUGGAUGGUAUGUUAAAAAAGGAUCAUCGUCUAGCGAGGAAUUGUCAUCUAGGUCCUCUCAAUUGGUCCUUAGACUUUUCGAGGAUAAUAAUAAUAAUAAUAUUAAUAGUAAUAAUAAUAAUAAUAAAAGUAAUAAUAAUAA